rnacentral:rRNA from 1 species
UGAGACACGGACCAGACUCCUACGGGAGGCAGCAGUGGGGAAUCUUAGACAAUGGGCGAAAGCCUGAUCUAGCCAUGCCGCGUGAGUGAUGAAGGCCUUAGGGUUGUAAAGCUCUUUUACCAGGGAUGAUAAUGACAGUACCUGGUAAAGAAGCCCCGGCUAACUUCGUGCCAGUAGCCGCGGUAAUACGGAGGGUGCAAGCGUUAAUCGGAAUUACUGGGCGUAAAGCGCGCGUAGGCGGUGACUCAAGUCAGAGGUGAAAGCCCGGAGCUCAACUCCGGAACUGCCUUUGAAACUAGGUGACUAGAAUCUUGGAGAGGCGAGUGGAAUUCCGAGUGUAGAGGUGAAAUUC